AUGGCGCCGCCGUCGUCGUUGAGGAAACUCCGAGAGCUGAUGAAGGGCAAAUUGAGCCCCGGGGAAAAUUCCAUUAGGGAUAAGGAUGAGGAGAAUCCAGAGGUUGCGCUUGUUUCAAAGAAGGUGAACAAGAAGCGGAAGAAGCUGCCGGGUACCAAGAAGGGGGAAGGGCGCGACGUGGAUAGGCUGGUCCGGGAGGAGGAUCCCGAGGUUGUGCUCGUUUCAAAGAAGCUGAACAAGAGGCGGAAGAAGCUGCCGGGUACCAAAAUGGGGGAAAGGCGCGACGUGGAUAGGCUGGUCCGGGAAGAGGAUCCUGAGGUUGUGCUUGUUUCAAAGAAGCUGAAGACACAUCCGGUGAGUGAACCGAAUGCAUCAUCGAGGGAAUCGAUCUGGGAAUCCAGUGAACCGCUCACGGGUAAGAAGAGAAAAGAGGGGAAAGGCCACGCCGUGCUGGUCGGGCAGGAUGGUUCGGAGGUUGCUCCUGUGGCAAAGAAGUGGAAGCCAAAGCCGGUGGCAAAGAAGUGGAAGCCAGAGCCGGUGCCAGAGGACAUUCGCUUGAGUGCAUCAUCGACUGUUAUUGUUGCUUAUGCUCCAGACAUGCCACACAGGUAUGGACAUUUGCUAAGGUCGAUUACCUUUCUUCUGCCUUACAAGAGUGAUGGGACGGCAUAUGAAUGUGAUCCCAACAGAGUGAAAGAUCUGAUAAGUCGAACCAGAUGUGGUUUAUGUCUUUUCUUUCAGUGGGUUCAAAGAGAUAAGGAGAUGUUUUGUUGGAUAAUUAAUAUAUCGACAAAUAAUUCUACUCAGUUCCUCGUAAAUCCAGCAUUUGUAUCUGAAAUGUUAGAAGUGAAAGUUAAGCGUGCAGCUUGUGCUUUCUCAUUAAACUUCUGUAGUGAUAAAAAAUGGGCUGGUGUAAAGAAUGCUUUGGAGCUGGUGUUUUCUUCACCUCAACACAAGACAUCUGAAGCUCCUGAUAAUAUGUAUGUCUUCACAAGGAUAGAUGAUUGUGUCUACUUCAGAAAUAUAAAGAUUAAUGAUUUCCCCAAUAUUGCCGAAGGCGAGCCAUUGGAUCUGAAAGAGGUUGGACCUUAUUUUUGCCUGAAGCUUGUGGAUAUUCAUGGAGAGACUGAUGUCCCAUAUCUACCUUCAGAUGUUGUUCCACAAAAUAAGAUUAAAGUGUGUCCCAUUCAAUAUUGUAGUUUGUCACCUGAAUUGGGAUCUUGCAUAGCACCUCAUUCCCUCUACUUGAAUGACGAAAACUAUACGAUCCUUAUUGAGAAUGGUCAUGAUUUGUCAGCAUUUGAGGGUUAUAAUGUUAGCCUUGAGGAGUUUCUUGCAGAGCAACCGUUAUUGAAAAUAAAACAUAUUGUUGGAUCAAAAACUGGCGAGGAGUGUUUGUUUGUGAGAAACAUUGCCAAGUAUAUCAUCAAAUCCAUCCUUGCAUACCUUGUUAAGCUCUUCUCUCGUGACAAAUGUAUCAAAAUGAAGAUAAUAGGGCGCAAACAUAUCUUUCUGAAAGGGUCCAAAGUCAAAUUCUAUGGGGUGGAAUUUGUACAGUUUGAAGAAAAUCAAGCAGAAGACAAUGUAGUGUGUGUUGUUGGGUUAAUAAGUGGAUGCUUCCCUGAAGACCUCAUCCCUAGUGAUUUAAGUGAGAUGCUUGAUCUUUUGCUAUCAGAUCCUCUGCACAAUCUUGAAGCAGGGAAAGGUGAUUGCUCCCUGCUGUCAGCAAAAGAGAGGAGAGAACUCUUGGUUCUUUUGCAUACCGAGUACAUGACAAAUGUGAAACCUAUGUUAUGUGGUAAAGAUGGCGACGAUCCAAAUGGAAAUUUGGAAGAGUUCUUCGCAGGGUGCCCAUACAUAGAAACAUGGGUAGACACUAUGACAAAAAACACUUACCUAACUGAGGUCGCCAGUUAUAACUCGGUACUGGGGGUUUUGAAACUGGAGAAGAGAAAAGAGGAGAACAAAGAGAAGUUGGAGAAUGAAGAGGAUGACAAUAAAAAGCUAAUACAAAAAGGAGAGCGACAGUUUCAUGUUCUAAGAAAUUGUGAUGUACAUAUUCCUGAGAAGGCUGCAAAGGAUGGAAUAUGUCCAUUUCGUCUGACGUGGUGUGACUACAUCCGUACGUGCUACUUUCGAAAGUAUCUCUCCUUUGUGCAAAGGCGCAUGGAAUCUUAUCUAAAGCCGACAAGGUGA
rnacentral:rRNA from 1 species